UGCUAUUCUUUUUAGGGGGGUGGAGUGUGAUGAGUCUCCUGCUCUUCCUGCUACGGCCGGUCAGUGGGUGUGUCUAGGAGACUCAUCAGGAGAAUGAUGUCCACC